rnacentral:rRNA from 1 species
UACGGGAGGCAGCAGUGGGGAAUUUUUCGCAAUGGGCGCAAGCCUGAAUACGCAACGCCGCGUGGAGGAUGAAGGUCUUCGGAUUGUAAACUCCUGUUGAUCGGGACGAAAAGCUUCGACUUAAUACGUCGAAGACUGACGGUACCGGUUGAGGAAGCCCCGGCUAACUCUGUGCCAGCAGCCGCGGUAAUACAGAGGUGGCAAGCGUUGUUCGGAAUUACUGGGCGUAAAGGGCGCGUAGGCGGCCUUCUAAGUCGGACGUGAAAGCCCCAGGCUUAACCUGGGAACUGCGUCCGAUACUGGGAGGCUUGGAUUCGGGAGAGGGAUGUGGAAUUCCAGGUGUAGCGGUGAAAUGCGUAGAUAUCUGGAGGAACACCGGUGGCGAAGGCGGCAUCCUGGACCGAGAUUGACGCUGAGGCGCGAAAGCUAGGGGAGCAAACGGGAUUAGAUACCCCGGUAGUCCUAGCCCUAAACGAUGAAUGCUUGGUGUGGCGGGUAUCGAUCCCUGCCGUGCCGAAGCUAACGCAUUAAGCAUUCCGCCUGGA